rnacentral:rRNA from 1 species
ACGGCCAUACCAUGCUGAAUAUACCGGUUCUCGUUAGAUCACCGAAGUCAAGCAUCAUUGGGCGCGGUCAGUACUUGGGUGGGUGGCCACCUGGGAACACCGCGUGCCGUU